AGAAAUCACAGAGGGAACCUCAUUGCCUACUGCAUGUCUUUAACCCAUACCAAAGGUUUUGGCACAUGGAGAACUGCCCUAAACUAAAUUUCCACAUUUCCCAGGUAGGUGAUUUCUUGGAAAGAAACCUCAGGGAGAUGCUGUCUUAUUAAGUUAGCUGCCAAACCUCAGCUUUGCAGGAUCACUCCCAGACUUCAAAUAAGCCUGUUCAUCUCCAACUUGAUAAGGAAUCAAAGUUGAAGCCUUGGAUUGCUUUAUGAAACACCUAAAAACAAGUGCCUAAGAUAAAGACUAGAUCCUAAUCCCAGCAUCAAAACUACACUCAAUAAACAAAUAUUUUUAAACAUGUAGUCACAGUAAAAUCAAUAAGAAUAUUUAUGAUUGCAGAGUCAUAUCGUAAUGACUUCUGCUAUUGACAAGAAAACAAUUUGAAAUCCGAAAGAUAAAAAGCUGAGUAAAGGAUUGGAAUCAUGAUUUUGCUUUUAUUGAGCAGCUUGCAGUAGUUAAUUUCCAUAUAUCUCUUCUAUAGUCUUUUAUUCCUUACCUACCAAGUGUUUGCCAUGCUCACAGACUUUUGGUCGGUAGGAUUCUAAUUUCUUCUUCUUCAGCAGGGUUUAUUUUUCUGGACUGUAUUUGUAGUGCCCUCUUUCAUGUUCACUAUUGCUUGAUUAUGACAUACAUGCCCUGAUGAGGUUUAGAUAGACCAAAUCUGUUGCAGGUAAUAGAGCAAAACAAGUAUUUGUUUUUCAGUUGCAUCUGAAACAACAGCAACCAAUGGCAAGUCCACAGAUAUAGUCUCAUGAGUACAGAAACAGUCAGUUUUGGCUAAGCAUGGGAGAGAACAGUGCUGCAGGGAAAAAGAAGUCUUGGGGACAGAAUCUGGCAGGCACUAAUAUAAAAGAAACCUCAAUGUGGAUGCUUUCAGGAAAGACAGAGAAAAUAAUCAGAGGCAUUUCUUUGGCAAUCACAGAUAUUCAGGUGAAGAUUCUUAAAUUGAAGCUGUUCUGUAGAAAUGAGACACAGAUAGAAGAUAGAAAACAUACCUAAAGACAAUAAACUAUCCGAUAUAAUAAGAAGCA
rnacentral:lncRNA from 1 species